rnacentral:rRNA from 1 species
GGUUAAGCGACUAAGCGUACACGGUGGAUGCCCUGGCAGUCAGAGGCGAUGAAGGGCGUGCUAAUCUGCGAUAAGCGCCGGUAAGGUGAUAUGAACCGUUAUAACCGGCGAUACCCGAAUGGGGAAACCCAGUGUGAUUCGUCACACUAUCAUUAACUGAAUCCAUAGGUUAAUGAGGCGAACCGGGGGAACUGAAACAUCUAAGUACCCCGAGGAAAAGAAAUCAACCGAGAUUCCCCCAGUAGCGGCGAGCGAACGGGGAGGAGCCCAGAGCCUGAAUCAGCAUGUGUGUUAGUGGAAGCGUCUGGAAAGGCGCGCGAUACAGGGUGACAGCCCCGUACACAAAAGCGCAUGUGCUGUGAGCUCGAUGAGUAGGGCGGGACACGUGGUAUCCUGUCUGAAUAUGGGGGGACCAUCCUCCAAGGCUAAAUACUCCUGACUGACCGAUAGUGAACCAGUACCGUGAGGGAAAGGCGAAAAGAACCCCGGCGAGGGGAGUGAAAAAGAACCUGAAACCGUGUACGUACAAGCAGUGGGAGCACCCUUUUGGGUGUGACUGCGUACCUUUUGUAUAAUGGGUCAGCGACUUAUAUUCUGUAGCAAGGUUAACCGAAUAGGGGAGCCGCAGGGAAACCGAGUCUUAACCGGGCGUUAAGUUGCAGGGUAUAGACCCGAAACCCGGUGAUCUAGCCAUGGGCAGGUUGAAGGUUGGGUAACACUAACUGGAGGACCGAACCGACUAAUGUUGAAAAAUUAGCGGAUGACCUGUGGCUGGGGGUGAAAGGCCAAUCAAACCGGGAGAUAGCUGGUUCUCCCCGAAAGCUAUUUAGGUAGCGCCUCGUGAAUUCAUCUCCGGGGGUAGAGCACUGUUUCGGCUAGGGGGCCAUCCCGGCUUACCAACCCGAUGCAAACUGCGAAUACCGGAGAAUGUUAUCACGGGAGACACACGGCGGGUGCUAACGUCCGUCGUGAAGAGGGAAACAACCCAGACCGCCAGCUAAGGUCCCAAAGUCAUGGUUAAGUGGGAAACGAUGUGGGAAGGCCCAGACAGCCAGGAUGUUGGCUUAGAAGCAGCCAUCAUUUAAAGAAAGCGUAAUAGCUCACUGGUCGAGUCGGCCUGCGCGGAAGAUGUAACGGGGCUAAACCAUGCACCGAAGCUGCGGCAGCGACACUGUGUGUUGUUGGGUAGGGGAGCGUUCUGUAAGCCUGCGAAGGUGGCCUGUGAGGGUUGCUGGAGGUAUCAGAAGUGCGAAUGCUGACAUAAGUAACGAUAAAGCGGGUGAAAAGCCCGCUCGCCGGAAGACCAAGGGUUCCUGUCCAACGUUAAUCGGGGCAGGGUGAGUCGACCCCUAAGGCGAGGCCGAAAGGCGUAGUCGAUGGGAAACGGGUUAAUAUUCCCGUACUUGGUGUUACUGCGAAGGGGGGACGGAGAAGGCUAUGUUGGCCGGGCGACGGUUGUCCCGGUUUAAGCGUGUAGGUGUGUGUUCCAGGUAAAUCCGGUUCACUUUAACACUGAGGCGUGAUGACGAGGCACUACGGUGCUGAAGCAACAAAUGCCCUGCUUCCAGGAAAAGCCUCUAAGCAUCAGGUAACAUCAAAUCGUACCCCAAACCGACACAGGUGGUCAGGUAGAGAAUACCAAGGCGCUUGAGAGAACUCGGGUGAAGGAACUAGGCAAAAUGGUGCCGUAACUUCGGGAGAAGGCACGCUGACACGUAGGUGAAGUGAUUUACUCAUGGAGCUGAAGUCAGUCGAAGAUACCAGCUGGCUGCAACUGUUUAUUAAAAACACAGCACUGUGCAAACACGAAAGUGGACGUAUACGGUGUGACGCCUGCCCGGUGCCGGAAGGUUAAUUGAUGGGGUCAGCGCAAGCGAAGCUCCUGAUCGAAGCCCCGGUAAACGGCGGCCGUAACUAUAACGGUCCUAAGGUAGCGAAAUUCCUUGUCGGGUAAGUUCCGACCUGCACGAAUGGCGUAAUGAUGGCCAGGCUGUCUCCACCCGAGACUCAGUGAAAUUGAACUCGCUGUGAAGAUGCAGUGUACCCGCGGCAAGACGGAAAGACCCCGUGAACCUUUACUAUAGCUUGACACUGAACAUUGAGCCUUGAUGUGUAGGAUAGGUGGGAGGCUUUGAAGUGUGGACGCCAGUCUGCAUGGAGCCGACCUUGAAAUACCACCCUUUAAUGUUUGAUGUUCUAACGUGGACCCGUUACCCGGGUUGCGGACAGUGUCUGGUGGGUAGUUUGACUGGGGCGGUCUCCUCCUAAAGAGUAACGGAGGAGCACGAAGGUUGGCUAAUCCUGGUCGGACAUCAGGAGGUUAGUGCAAUGGCAUAAGCCAGCUUGACUGCGAGCGUGACGGCGCGAGCAGGUGCGAAAGCAGGUCAUAGUGAUCCGGUGGUUCUGAAUGGAAGGGCCAUCGCUCAACGGAUAAAAGGUACUCCGGGGAUAACAGGCUGAUACCGCCCAAGAGUUCAUAUCGACGGCGGUGUUUGGCACCUCGAUGUCGGCUCAUCACAUCCUGGGGCUGAAGUAGGUCCCAAGGGUAUGGCUGUUCGCCAUUUAAAGUGGUACGCGAGCUGGGUUUAGAACGUCGUGAGACAGUUCGGUCCCUAUCUGCCGUGGGCGCUGGAGAACUGAGGGGGGCUGCUCCUAGUACGAGAGGACCGGAGUGGACGCAUCACUGGUGUUCGGGUUGUCAUGCCAAUGGCACUGCCCGGUAGCUAAAUGCGGAAGAGAUAAGUGCUGAAAGCAUCUAAGCACGAAACUUGCCCCGAGAUGAGUUCUCCCUGAGACUUAGAGUCUCCUGAAGGAACGUUGAAGACGACGACGUUGAUAGGCCGGGUGUGUAAGCGCAGCGAUGCGUUGAGCUAACCGGUACUAAUGAACCGUGAGGCUUAACCUUACAACGCCGAAGAUGUUUUG